UGACCUAUUCCCACUGAUAAUGAAUGGUCAAUUAGUUACCAAGAUCACGUUAUCUCAUCAAACCAGGAACAUAUAACAAUCUAGUUUACCCAGAUGUACUGAUUAUGUAAAUAAGGUCAAAGGACAAAGGACAAAUAGUACCAGAUCGAUAGUUAACAGCUAAGCCAUACAUAAGCAAGUAAUAAGUAACCCCUGGAAAUUUCCAGACUGCAAAACAAGGUAGACACACUGUAUUUAAAGCUUCACCACAGUAUAGCAAUUUGGUCCUCACUGAUGGACUCUGAUACUGGUGCCUCGGAAGCCUAGGCAACCUCCGGCCUCAUCCACAGCUGAAACGGGGUUCCCAGCUUGCAGAAGGGAUGGAAGAUGCCGCUUUUCCUAUCAUGUUGUUCUUUCAGUUAAGGGGUACAGCUGAAAACUGUCAAGAAAUAAACUGCUUGUGUUUGACAGAUACUUGUGUAGCGUGUUUUGUACCUUGAGAACCCAGUGUCGGACCUGAGACUUACUCUUGCCAGCAACACAGUCCUUUGUUUUAGAAGACUAACGAAAAAACCUUUUUAAAAGGAGUGGGACAACAUCAGUGGAUGCAGGUGUUUUGGCUUGUGGCAGAAGCAGACAGUAGGAUGCUGGAAGUCAAGAUAUUGCAAGACUUACAUCCACACCAAGGAACUGACAAGGAACAGUUAAAAUGGCUGCUGCAAAAGGAAAGGAAACCACUGGGCCAACGACCCUAUUCAGUGACAGAAAGAAGGGAGGAGCUCAUUGUUUCCAAGUGGGAGAGACAAACAGCAAAGCUAAAGAAAGAACUAAGAAACUGAUCCUUGUUAGAUGUUCAACAGUGAAUGGGCACCAAAUGUACAAUAUAAAUAUACUAUGUGUUCACCUACCACACUUUGAGACUAAAUAUGACUUGUGUUUGAAGUGAACUUCCACAAAUCACCACACCUGGGAAGAGAAUAGUUGUUUCUACAAAGAUGCACAAAGAUGGUUUUUUAAAAGUAAACUUAUUAUUAAGAAACUGUUCUAUUAAUAACAGUGCUAACUAUACAUUUAAAGAGUUAGUAUAUACAUGACAUACCAUACACUUUUCUCUCCUUGAUCUGAAACAGGCAAAGGUAAGACCACUGCAAGAUGUCAAUAUAUUCAUGAAGAAUCAAAGAAGGGAGAGAAGAUUAAAGAAAGAUAGAGAAAAGGAACAUAAGAAACACACACAUACAGAGAACCCUCUGUUACAUUGAUGAGCACUUAGCAUUCACCUCACUGGGCCUAAGGCUGUAUCUACACUUGCAUUUUAUUGACAAAACUUUUGGUUUUUUGUGGGUGCUUAAACACAUUCCCCCAAAUGAACAACAAAGUUUUUUCAUAGAAAAUGAAAGUGAGAAAACUGCAUUGCCUACUGCUUACAAAGUGAAAUACCCUCAUUGUGGGUGGAAAUAGUUUGCUGACAAAAGUGCCAACAAAUAGCAUUCACACAUACUGACUCUUAGUGACAGGGCUGUGUUGACACAAACUGUCGCUAAAAGCUGCAGAGUUUAGACAUACCCUGAGUAAAAAAUGAAUUCAAGCAAACCUGUUAGCUUAACACAUAGUAAAAGUAAUUCAUGAAAAAUACAAGAUUGGUAACUCGUUAUCCAAUUAAAUACUACUUUACUGAUUUCCACUUUUUUGUUUCUCAAGAAACACCCCUAAAACUAUCAUCCAACCUUACUGUCAGUUCCAACAUUGUUAUGUAAUUGUGUUGUUUUGCUGGGUUAUCCAACAGUUACUAAUGCUACAAGCAAAGUAGCUUAAUACAGUUAUUAGACUUUUUUAAAAAAAAAUUACUAUGAUGUUCCUAUAGAAAUUAACUUUCCUUGACAACAAGAAAGCCUCCUAGUCAAAAAGAAAAAAGUUCCAGUUCAAAGAGAUUUUAAUUGUGUUAACCUUAGAUGUCUCAUAUUUAUCAGAGUAUUAACUGAGAAACACAAGCUGCCUUUGAUUGGCCCUUGGUAACACAGAUAAAGUGUUUUACUUCUGUUUAAGUAAAUGCCACCACAAUACCUUAGUAGGGAAACAAAAACUGGAUGUGAUCACAGAAUUGUGCUUCUUACCUUCUAAUUACUGCAUACACUUUGUCCCCCAUUACCACAAAUUAUGCAAUUGAGUUUCCCUCAUUACCUUUGUGAUCACGAUAUCUCCCCUGCCAGAUCAUUAGGCUGCCAUUUUGCUCCCUUUGAAACAAUGAAACUGUCAAACUUUUUGCCCCAGAAGAUAGCAGAUUUACUUCUCUGUCUGUUACAUUUUGGCUGGGUUAUUGAUAUUCUUUGGAGGUCUCUCAGCAGAA